rnacentral:piRNA from 2 species
UACUGAUGGAUCAAAAACUGGCAUAGGU